rnacentral:rRNA from 1 species
AGGAUGAACGCUGGCGGCGUGCCUAAUACAUGCAAGUCGAGCGGUAAGGCCCCUUCGGGGGUACACGAGCGGCGGACGGCUGAGUAACACGUAGGAACGUACCCCAAACUGAGGGAUAAGCACCAGAAAUGGUGUCUAAUACCGCAUGUGAUCUUCGGAUUAAAGCUUCGGCGGUUUGGGAACGGCCUGCGCAUGAUUAGCUUGUUGGUGAGGUAAUGGCUCACCAAGGCGACGAUCAUUAGCUGGUCUGAGAGGAUGAUCAGCCAGACUGGAACUGAGAACGGUCCAGACUCCUACGGGAGGCAGCAGUAGGGAAUUUUCCACAAUGGCGAAAGCCUGAUGGAGCAACGCCGCGUGCAGGACGAAGGCCUUCGGGUUGUAAACUGCUUUCUCGGGAAGAGAACGGACGGUACCCGAGGAAUCAGCCCGGCUAACUACGUGCCAGCAGCCGC